UACGAAGGGUGCAAGCGUUACUCGGAAUUACUGGGCGUAAAGGGUGCGUAGGUGGUUGUUUAAGUCUGCUGUGAAAGCCCCGGGCUCAACCUGGGAAUGGCAGUGGAUACUGGACAGCUAGAGUGCGGUAGAGGGUAGUGGAAUUCCCGGUGUAGCAGUGAAAUGCGUAGAGAUCGGGAGGAACACCAGUGGCGAAGGCGGCUACCUGGACCAGCACUGACACUAAAGCACGAAAGCGUGGGGAGCAAACAGG
rnacentral:rRNA from 1 species